ACACAUGCAAGUCGAACGAUGAACCACCUUCGGGUGGGGAUUAGUGGCGAACGGGUGAGUAACACGUGGGCAAUCUGCCCUGCACUCUGGGACAAGCCCUGGAAACGGGGUCUAAUACCGGAUACUGAACCGCUUGGGCAUCCAGGCGGUUCGAAAGCUCCGGCGGUGCAGGAUGAGCCCGCGGCCUAUCAGCUUGUUGGUGAGGUAACGGCUCACCAAGGCGACGACGGGUAGCCGGCCUGAGAGGGCGACCGGCCACACUGGGACUGAGACACGGCCCAGACUCCUACGGGAGGCAGCAGUGGGGAAUAUUGCACAAUGGGCGAAAGCCUGAUGCAGCGACGCCGCGUGAGGGAUGACGGCCUUCGGGUUGUAAACCUCUUUCAGCAGGGAAGAAGCGAAAGUGACGGUACCUGCAGAAGAAGCGCCGGCUAACUACGUGCCAGCAGCCGCGGUAAUACGUAGGGCGCGAGCGUUGUCCGGAAUUAUUGGGCGUAAAGAGCUCGUAGGCGGCUUGUCGCGUCGGUUGUGAAAGCCCGGGGCUUAACCCCGGGUCUGCAGUCGAUACGGGCAGGCUAGAGUUCGGUAGGGGAGAUCGGAAUUCCUGGUGUAGCGGUGAAAUGCGCAGAUAUCAGGAGGAACACCGGUGGCGAAGGCGGAUCUCUGGGCCGAUACUGACGCUGAGGAGCGAAAGCGUGGGGAGCGAACAGGAUUAGAUACCCUGGUAGUCCACGCCGUAAACGGUGGGCACUAGGUGUGGGCGACAUUCCACGUCGUCCGUGCCGCAGCUAACGCAUUAAGUGCCCCG
rnacentral:rRNA from 1 species